CACCUUCCUGGCUGGCUGACUUUGCAGAGGCGACCUGCCAUGCAGGAGAGGGCCCCGUGGCUGGGAUCGGAGGGCCACCACCCCGAGACGUGAAUCCUGCCCACAGCACUGAGCAAACCGAGAAGCGGAUCCUGCUCCUGAACCUUGAGACGCGUAGAGCCCCACGGACACCUUGACACGCCAGUGACAGAGCCGGAAGCAGAGGACCCGGCCGCCGCGCCUGCAACCUGACCUGCGGAAACUUCUAGUCAGGCAGCAAAACAAUAAAUCGAGCCCUGAGUCAUCCUGUUACCAGUUCCCGUGGUUUAAGGACUCCCACUGCAGCCGAUUGCCCAGGCCACCAACCUGGGGUCACCACGCGUGGACUUGGGGAGAGAUGCGCAACAGCGGACUAUCAAAUGUGCUUCCACCAGCCAGCACGGAUGAAAGUCACCUCGGGAGCAUCCAGAGCAGCAAAAUGUCCUUUCAGACAUGGAAAGGGAUGAGCAGAGCCUCCUACAGCAGGGUGGUGAGCCCAGCACACGGCAUCGGGCCCUCUCCAUUCCAGCCAGGAGCCCCUGCCCGGGACGCGUGCCCCCACCCGUCCAGAGCUGAGGGCUGCCCAGCCUGUGGCCGCCUCUCUCUGACCUCUCUGCCUGCCUCCCACAGGUAAUCCUCCCCCCGACACCCUCCUGCACCCCUGCUUCCUGGGGAGAUCACGGAACCAGAACAGAAUACAGACUCCUGGAAGUGGACAGUUUAGGGCAAAUCAAUCAGAAAGGCAGAGAUGGGAUUCUGAUCUCUGCCACCGGCCAGCUGUGUGACCCUGGGCGAGUCACUUCACUUCUCUGAGCCUCUGUUUGCUCAGUGUACCAGGAGGCUAAUGCUGGCCCCACCGGUGGCUCAUGGGGAUCCCCUGAGCUAGAGCUUCACAAAUGCCUCGCACAGCUUCUGGCAUAUGGCAGAUACACAAGAAACCCGGUCACAGUAAAAGCCCCUUAAAGAGCAGCUGUUCCAGCCACUCCAUUGCAGAGAUGGACAAACGGAGGCCCAGGGAGGGGAGAGAACUCGCCCAAGGCUACACAGCAAGCCCCUGCAGUCCCAUCCGGCCCCCUCGCCGGCUCCCCUCUCCGAGCGAGCUCCAGGGUGGAGUGUGCACAAGGGCUGGCCUCCUCACACCUCGCCUCCCUCUAGCGUCUGGUCCCCGCGCCGGCCUCACUCACCAGCGAGCAGGUACCAGCGUUCAGGCGGGAGCACACCUCCUCCUCCAGGCAGCCUGGCUUUCUCUGUCGCCGAGGUGAGCCGCGGCUCCCAUCCGCAGCAGGAGCCGAGUUGGGACUCUGGGAAGCCCGUCCAGACUAGCCACUCGGGAGGUUGCUCACAAGGAGCCCACUGUCCCCCGGUCUCCCUUGCGGUGCCGAGGGCCGGGGGACAGCGCGCUGCCGGGCUCUGAUAGUGCAGCCGGCCUCUUAUCUGGCCUGUGUCCGGGUGCAGGCGGCCGUUGGAGCAGGGGUUCCAGGAAGCCUGCCUGGGGCCCCCCCGGCCAGCCUGCUCUCCCCGGAUGCUGCCUGCUUCUCUGGACGCGGCCGAUUGCCCGUCAGUGUCACUGAGCUCUGCCAGGGAGAAUUCCAUGAUGGCCCCCAGCAGGCGGGGCCCCCACCCCUUCACGUCCCACCCCCCACUCCCAUCUUGGCAAGGGGAUGGGAAAAGGCAGCUAAUUUCAAGCCCGCACAGCGCUUGUGGUCGUGUCCUGAACUCUCUACGAUUAAUCACGGAGCAUCUGAUUUCUGCUUCGCCUCAGAAGGGGGUGUGGGGAUGCCUGGAAGUUUCUGUUUACUCCAUUCUGCGCCCGGGCUGUGUGCUAAUCACAAACAGACAGGGACACAGCCUUGCCCUCCCUCCUCCGCCCCUGCCUCCUCUCUUACCUUGCCACUUUCGUGUCCCCUCCUCGCUCCUUCUUUUCCUCCUCUCUUCUUAACCUUGCCACUUUCAUGUCCCCUCCUUGCUCCUUCUCCUUUUCCUCCUUUCUUCCCUCUCCCCCUCCCUUCUGUCUGGAUCUGAUCCUCCACACACCUCUUCCUGUGGUCCUGGUUCCCCG